GGAUUAGAUACCCUGGUAGUCCACGCCGUAAACGAUGAGAACUAGCCGUUGGGCCUAUUAAAAGGUUUAGUGGCGAAGCUAACGCGAUAAGUUCUCCGCCUGGGGAGUACGGCCGCAAGGUUAAAACUCAAAUGAAUUGACGGGGGCCCGCACAAGCGGUGGAGCAUGUGGUUUAAUUCGAUGCAACGCGAAGAACCUUACCACCCCUUGACAUCCUCAGCAUUGGUCAGAGAUGACUGAGUGCCUUCGGGAACUGAGAGACAGGUGCUGCAUGGCUGUCGUCAGCUCGUGCUG
rnacentral:rRNA from 1 species